rnacentral:rRNA from 1 species
CUGAGUGGGAGCGAGAGACCAACAGGGAUUGCCUCAGUAACGGCGAGUGAAGCGGCAACAGCUCAAAUUUGAAAUCUGGCCCUCGGGUCCGAGUUGUAAUUUGUAGAGGAUGCUUUUGGCGCGGUGCCUUCCGAGUUCCCUGGAACGGGACGCCUUAGAGGGUGAGAGCCCCGUACGGUUGGACACCAAGCCUCUGUAAAGCUCCUUCGACGAGUCGAGUAGUUUGGGAAUGCUGCUCUAAAUGGGAGGUAAAUUUCUUCUAAAGCUAAAUAUUGGCCAGAGACCGAUAGCGCACAAGUAGAGUGAUCGAAAGAUGAAAAGCACUUUGAAAAGAGGGUUAAAUAGCACGUGAAAUUGUUGAAAGGGAAGCGUUUGCGACCAGACCUUUUCCUGGCGGAUCAUCCGGUGUUCUCACCGGUGCACUUCGCCAGGUCGAGGCCAGCAUCGGUUUCCGCGGGGGGAUAAAAGCUCUGGGAACGUAGCUCCUCCGGGAGUGUUAUAGCCCUCUGCACAAUACCCCCGCGGGGACCGAGGACCGCGCUCUAAGCAAGGAUGCUGGCGUAAUGGUUGUCAACGACCCGUCUUGAAACACGGACCAAGGAGUCGAACAUUUGUGCGAGUGUUUGGGUGUCAAACCCUCACGCGUAAUGAAGGUGAACGUAGGUGAGAGCCCUUACGGGUGCAUCAUCGACCGAUCCUGAUGUCUUCGGAUGGAUUUGAGUAAGAGCAUAACUGUUCGGACCCGAAAGAUGGUGAACUAUGCGUGGAUAGGGUGAAGCCAGAGGAAACUCUGGUGGAGGCUCGCAGCGGUUCUGACGUGCAAAUCGAUCGUCAAAUCUGCGCAUGGGGGCGAAAGACUUAUCGAACCAUCUAGUAGCUGGUUACCGCCGAAAGUUUCCCUCAGAUAGCAGUGGUUGUUCUUCAGUUUUUAUGGAGG